AACCCAUGAUGUGGGCAUUGUCUGAGCAUACUAUUAUAUCUAUCUCAUGCUUCAAAAAGAGAUUCUGAGUCAGUUUGCUUGAAGCUUGCAAUUAAAUUCCCAUAUGAGCU